rnacentral:rRNA from 1 species
UAGGGAAUCUUCGGCAAUGGGGGCAACCCUGACCGAGCAACGCCGCGUGAGUGAAGAAGGUUUUCGGAUCGUAAAGCUCUGUCUUUUGGGACGAUAAUGACGGUACCAAAGGAGGAAGCCACGGCUAACUACGUGCCAGCAGCCGCGGUAAUACGUAGGUGGCGAGCGUUGUCCGGAUUUACUGGGCGUAAAGGGUGCGUAGGCGGAUGUUUAAGUGAGAUGUGAAAUACCCGGGCUUAACUUGGGUGCUGCAUUUCAAACUGGAUAUCUAGAGUGCAGGAGAGGAGAAUGGAAUUCCUAGUGUAGCGGUGAAAUGCGUAGAGAUUAGGAAGAACACCAGUGGCGAAGGCGAUUCUCUGGACUGUAACUGACGCUGAGGCACGAAAGCGUGGGUAGCAAACAGGAUUAGAUACCCUGGUAGUCCACGCCGUAAACGAUGAGUACUAGGUGUAGGAGGUAUCGACCCCUUCUGUGCCGCAGUAAACACAUUAAGUACUCCGCCUGGGAAGUACGAUCGCAAGAUUAAAAC